UUUUGUUCCAAGAAGAAUAAAGUUGCACAAAAAAGUGUUUGCAUUGCACAACACAACACACCACACCACACAGAGAAAGAAUAGAAAUCAAUCAUUAGGUUCCUCUUCCUUCCUCCUCGUCCGGCGUGUCUCUGAAUUUGGUUGUGACCAGUGGCGAGUAUACCGCCGGGCAUGCCUCGCAUGCCUGGCACGUGCCUGGGCUGCCCUUCUUAUAUAUAUAUAUAUAUUUUUUUUUAAAUGAAAACAAAAACAGAAAAAGGAAGAGUUAGAAUUUGCUUUCGCUUUCUCGAUCCCUCUCUCUC
rnacentral:lncRNA from 1 species